rnacentral:rRNA from 1 species
UGGGGAAUAUUGCGCAAUGGGCGAAAGCCUGACGCAGCGACGCCGCGUGAGUGAUGAAGGCCCUCGGGUCGUAAAGCUCUGUCGGGCGGGAAGAAAAAAUCCAACCUGAAUAGGGUUGGGUUCUGACGUUACCGCCGAAGGAAGCACCGGCUAACUCCGUGCCAGCAGCCGCGGUAAGACGGAGGGUGCAAGCGUUGCUCGGAAUCACUGGGUGUAAAGGGCGCGUAGGUGGUCGUUUAAGUCGGAUGUUAAAGCCCUGGGCUUAACCCAGGAAUUGCAUUCGAAACUGGAUGGCUUGAGGGUGGGAGAGGAAAGUGGAAUUCCCGGUGUAGAGGUGAAAUUCGUAGAUAUCGGGAGGAACACCAGUGGCGAAGGCGACUUUCUGGACCACCCCUGACACUGAGGCGCGAAAGCGUGGGGAGCAAACAGG